UGGGGAAUAUUGCACAAUGGGCGCAAGCCUGAUGCAGCCAUGCCGCGUGUAUGAAGAAGGCCUUCGGGUUGUAAAGUACUUUCAGCCGGGAGGAAGGUGGCAAGGUUAAUAACCUUGGCAACUGACGUUACCGACAGAAGAAGCACCGGCUUACUCCGUGCCAGCAGCCGCGGUAAUACGGAGGGUGCAAGCGUUAAUCGGAAUUACUGGGCGUAAAGCGCACGCAGGCGGUUGAUUGAGUCAGAUGUGAAAUCCCCGGGCUUAACCCGGGAAUUGCAUCUGGUACUGGUCAGCUAGAGUCUUGUAGAGGGGGGUAGAAUUCCAUGUGUAGCGGUGAAAUGCGUAGAGAUGUGGAGGAAUACCGGUGGCGAAGGCGGCCCCCUGGUCAGAGACUGACGCUCAGGUGCGAAAGCGUGGGGAGCAAACAGG
rnacentral:rRNA from 1 species